ACGCGUACGGCCUCGACGAGAUCGGCCAGAACACCGAGGCCAUCCGGAACUCGGUCCUCGACCUCACGCGCUUUGGCAAGGUGGUCAAGCUCGUCGCCUUCCACCCUUUCUCCUCCACCCUCGAUGCCCUGAACCAAUGCAGCGCCAUCUCCGAAGGGCUCAUGACCGAUGCGUUGAGGAACUUCUUGGAAAUCAACCUUCUGAAACCAAAAGAGGGGAAGAAGGCUAAGUUCAGCCUCGGCGUUGCAGAGCCCAAGUUUGGGUCUCAGGAAGUGACCAAGAUUCCUUGCCAGAGCAAUGAGUUUGUUCUCGAGCUCCUUCAUGGUGUCAGGUUGCACUUUGAUAGGUUCAUUAAAGACUUAAAGCCAUCAGACUUGGAGAAGGCUCAGCUGGGUUUGAGUACAAUCAUUGUUCAGGAUCUCGGUCAUUUGUUACAACAAUGACUAUACCGCUGGAGUUUAAUAGUUCUGAAAAUCUUGAAUUUUCAGAAUUCUAUAAGAAAACUCAUACCAAGAAGAACAAAGAAUGAAUUGAUCCUAUUUG